rnacentral:rRNA from 1 species
CAAUAGCGUAUAUUAAAGUUGUUGCAGUUAAAAAGCUCGUAGUUGGGUUUCUGAUCGAGACAUCAGGUCGGGUCCGAGAGGAUCAUGUACUUUGAUUUUGUUUUGAUCAUCCUUGGGGAGAGCAUUUCUGGCAUUCAGUUGUCGGGAUUGGGAUCCUCAUCGUUUACUGUGAAAAAAUUAGAGUGUUCAAAGCAGGCCUCGGCCUCUGAAUACAUUAGCAUGGAAUAAUAAGAUAGGACUUUGGUGGUCUAUUUUGUUGGUUUGCACGCCAAAGUAAUGAUUAAUAGGGAUAGUUGGGGGUAUUCGUAUUCAAUUGUCAGAGGUGAAAUUCUUGGAUUUAUGGAAGACGAACUACUGCGAAAGCAUUUACCAAGGAUGUUUUCAUUAA